CAACCCUCAGGCCCAGCCUGGCGUUGGGGAUCGGCGCGGCGCGUCCUCGUGGCGCGCUGCCGGCCCCGAAAUCUAGUGGCGGUCUCGCUGUAGUCCUCCUCUGCGUAGUAGCUAACACCUCGCACUGGAACUCGGCGCGGCCAUGCCGUUAAACACCCCACUUCUGAA
rnacentral:misc_RNA from 1 species